rnacentral:rRNA from 1 species
GGUUAAGCGACUAAGCGUACACGGUGGAUGCCUAGGCAGUCAGAGGCGAUGAAGGGCGUGCUAAUCUGCGAUAAGCGUCGGUAAGCUGAUAUGAAGCGUUAUACCCGACGAUACCCGAAUGGGGAAACCCAGUGUGUUUCGACACACUAUCAUGACAUGAAUACAUAGUGUCAUGAGGCGAACCGGGGGAACUGAAACAUCUCAGUACCCCGAGGAAAAGAAAUCAACCGAGAUUCCCCCAGUAGCGGCGAGCGAACGGGGAGGAGCCCAGAACCUGAAUCAGUUUGUGUGUUAGUGGAAGCGUCUGGAAAGUCGCACAGUAAAGGGUGAUAGUCCCGUACACAAAAAUGCACAAGUUGUGAGUUCGAUGAGUAGGGCGGGACACGUGACAUCCUGUCUGAAUAUGGGGGGACCAUCCUCCAAGGCUAAAUACUCCUGACUGACCGAUAGUGAACCAGUACCGUGAGGGAAAGGCGAAAAGAACCCCGGCGAGGGGAGUGAAAUAGAACCUGAAACCGUGUACGUACAAGCAGUGGGAGCCUACUUGUUAGGUGACUGCGUACCUUUUGUAUAAUGGGUCAGCGACUUAUAUUCUGUAGCAAGGUUAACCGUAUAGGGGAGCCGCAGGGAAACCGAGUCUUAACUGGGCGUUAAGUUGCAGGGUAUAGACCCGAAACCCGGUGAUCUAGCCAUGGGCAGGUUGAAGGUUGGGUAACACUAACUGGAGGACCGAACCGACUAAUGUUGAAAAAUUAGCGGAUGACUUGUGGCUGGGGGUGAAAGGCCAAUCAAACCGGGAGAUAGCUGGUUCUCCCCGAAAGCUAUUUAGGUAGCGCCUCGUGAAUUCAUCUUCGGGGGUAGAGCACUGUUUCGGCUAGGGGGUCAUCCCGACUUACCAACCCGAUGCAAACUACGAAUACCGAAGAAUGUUAUCACGGGAGACACACGGCGGGUGCUAACGUUCGUCGUGAAGAGGGAAACAACCCAGACCGCCAGCUAAGGUCCCAAAGUCAUGGUUAAGUGGGAAACGAUGUGGGAAGGCAUAGACAGCCAGGAUGUUGGCUUAGAAGCAGCCAUCAUUUAAAGAAAGCGUAAUAGCUCACUGGUCGAGUCGGCCUGCGCGGAAGAUGUAACGGGGCUAAACCAUGCACCGAAGCUGCGGCAGCGACACUUAGGUGUUGUUGGGUAGGGGAGCGUUCUGUAAGCCUGCGAAGGUGGCCUGUGAGGGCUGCUGGAGGUAUCAGAAGUGCGAAUGCUGACAUAAGUAACGAUAAUGCGGGUGAAAAACCCGCACGCCGGAAGACCAAGGGUUCCUGUCCAACGUUAAUCGGGGCAGGGUGAGUCGACCCCUAAGGCGAGGCUGAAAAGCGUAGUCGAUGGGAAACAGGUUAAUAUUCCUGUACUCGGUGUUACUGCGAAGGGGGGACGGAGAAAGCUAGGUUAUCCGGGCGACGGUUGUCCCGGUUUAAGCGUGAAGGUGGAUGACUUUGGUAAAUCCGGGUCAUCGUUAACACUGAGGCGUGAUGACGAGUCACUACGGUGAUGAAGUAACCGAUGCUACGCUUCCAGGAAAAGCCUCUAAGCUCCAGGUAACAUCAAAUCGUACCCCAAACCGACACAGGUGGUCAGGUAGAGAAUACUCAGGCGCUUGAGAGAACUCGGGUGAAGGAACUAGGCAAAAUGGUGCCGUAACUUCGGGAGAAGGCACGCUGAUGGUAGGUGAAGUGACUUGCUCAUGGAGCUGAAAUCAGUCGAAGAUACCAGCUGGCUGCAACUGUUUAAUAAAAACACAGCACUGUGCAAACACGAAAGUGGACGUAUACGGUGUGACGCCUGCCCGGUGCCGGAAGGUUAAUUGAUGGGGUCAGCCGCAAGGCGAAGCUCUUGAUCGAAGCCCCGGUAAACGGCGGCCGUAACUAUAACGGUCCUAAGGUAGCGAAAUUCCUUGUCGGGUAAGUUCCGACCUGCACGAAUGGCGUAAUGAUGGCCAGGCUGUCUCCACCCGAGACUCAGUGAAAUUGAACUCGCUGUGAAGAUGCAGUGUACCCGCGGCAAGACGGAAAGACCCCGUGAACCUUUACUAUAGCUUGACACUGAACCUUGAGCCUUGAUGUGUAGGAUAGGUGGGAGGCUUUGAAGCGUGGACGCCAGUCUGCGUGGAGCCAACCUUGAAAUACCACCCUUUAAUGUUUGAUGUUCUAACGUGGACCCGUAAUCCGGGUUGCGGACAGUGUCUGGUGGGUAGUUUGACUGGGGCGGUCUCCUCCCAAAGCGUAACGGAGGAGCACGAAGGUUAGCUAAUCCUGGUCGGACAUCAGGAGGUUAGUGCAAAGGCAUAAGCUAGCUUGACUGCGAGAGUGACAGCUCGAGCAGGUGCGAAAGCAGGUCUUAGUGAUCCGGUGGUUCUGAAUGGAAGGGCCAUCGCUCAACGGAUAAAAGGUACUCCGGGGAUAACAGGCUGAUACCGCCCAAGAGUUCAUAUCGACGGCGGUGUUUGGCACCUCGAUGUCGGCUCAUCACAUCCUGGGGCUGAAGUAGGUCCCAAGGGUAUGGCUGUUCGCCAUUUAAAGUGGUACGCGAGCUGGGUUUAGAACGUCGUGAGACAGUUCGGUCCCUAUCUGCCGUGGGCGUUGGAAGAUUGAGAGGGGUUGCUCCUAGUACGAGAGGACCGGAGUGAACGCACCACUGGUGUACGGGUUGUGAUGCCAAUUGCAUUGCCCGGUAGCUAAGUGCGGAAGAGAUAACCGCUGAAAGCAUCUAAGCGGGAAACUUGCCUCGAGAUGAGUCUUCCCUGGACACUUGAUGUCCCUGAAGGGCCGUUGAAGACGACGACGUAGAUAGGCUGGGUGUGUAAGCGUAGCGAUACGUUGAGCUAACCAGUACUAAUGACCCGAGAGGCUUAACCUU